rnacentral:rRNA from 1 species
GACGAACGCUGGCGGCGUGCCUAAUACAUGCAAGUCGAGCGAACAGACGAGGAGCUUGCUCCUCUGACGUUAGCGGCGGACGGGUGAGUAACACGUGGAUAACCUACCUAUAAGACUGGGAUAACUUCGGGAAACCGGAGCUAAUACCGGAUAACAUGUUGAACCGCAUGGUUCAACAGUGAAAGACGGUCUUGCUGUCACUUAUAGAUGGAUCCGCGCCGCAUUAGCUAGUUGGUAAGGUAACGGCUUACCAAGGCAACGAUGCGUAGCCGACCUGAGAGGGUGAUCGGCCACACUGGAACUGAGACACGGUCCAGACUCCUACGGGAGGCAGCAGUAGGGAAUCUUCCGCAAUGGGCGAAAGCCUGACGGAGCAACGCCGCGUGAGUGAAGAAGGUCUUCGGAUCGUAAAACUCUGUUAUUAGGGAAGAACAAAUGUGUAAGUAACUAUGCACGUCUUGACGGUACCUAAUCAGAAAGCCACGGCUAACUACGU